rnacentral:rRNA from 1 species
UAGAUACCCUGGUAGUCCACGCCGUAAACGUUGGGCACUAGGUGUGGGGGGCCUUUUCCGGGUCUUCCGCGCCGUAGCUAACGCAUUAAGUGCCCCGCCUGGGGAGUACGGCCGCAAGACUAAAACUCAAAGGAAUUGACGGGGGCCCGCACAAGCGGCGGAGCAUGCGGAUUAAUUCGAUGCAACGCGAAGAACCUUACCAAGCUUGACAUGUGCCGGUCGGCUCCGGAGACGGGGUUUCCUCCUUGUG